UUUCAUUUCUCUUCUUUCUUCAACAGGGUAAGAAAAUGGAAGAAUUAAAAAACCCUAGAGGCUAGAUCCCAAUCUCUCUCAGGCGAUCUCCUUCCAAGAAGAUUAUAGUUGUGAAUUGAGAUCUCCUUGGGAACAUGGGUUUUCUGCUUUUGAUGUUGUUGUUACAUGGCUAUUAUUUCAUCUUCUAAUUUGAGUUCUUACAUGGCUUUCAAUGGAGAAGGGUUUUCUGCUGUGUGAAGGAUGCAGGAUCAUCUGGUACAAAGCCAAUCGACAAUUUGGAGCGGCUAGGUGCUGGACAGCUUAUGCAGACUCAAUAAUCGAUGCUGAGGCACAAGCUUUGUCCUCUGCAAUUCUCUGGUCUUCACAAAGCUGCAAAAGGUUAUAUAUGUGUCUGACAAUCUAUCCCUAGUCAAUUGAAUCAAUGGAGCAACUUCGUCACUGCACUGGACGAAAUUCUCUCUUGUUCAUAACUGUAAAGUAGGCCUAGCUUCCCUUGUAGCAUCUUGUUGUGUGUUUGUAAAUAGUAAAUGCCUUAGCGAAACUAGCACGGAAAAAUCAUGUAACUAAGGAAUGGUGUGUGUUUCCUUCUGAAGUAAUUUCUGCAGAAACUCCUUUUGGUGUGUAAUUUUCCCUUUUUAAUAAAUAACAUUUGCUUUCAAAAAA